UACAGAGGGGGCGAGCGUUGUUCGGAAUUACUGGGCGUAAAGGGCGCGUAGGCGGCCCUCUAAGUCGAACGUGAAAUCCCCGGGCUCAACCCGGGAACUGCGUCCGAUACUGGAGGGCUCGAAUCCGGGAGAGGGAUGUGGAACUCCAGGUGUAGCGGUGAAAUGCGUAGAUAUCUGGAGGAACACCGGUGGCGAAGGCGGCAUCCUGGACCGGUAUUGACGCUGAGGCGCGAAAGCCAGGGGAGCAAACGGG
rnacentral:rRNA from 1 species